GCCCCCUCGCCGCGCCGUAGCGGGCCGGGAGGGGGCGGAGCCAGCGGCCGGGCCCCGCCCCAUCCCCGUCCCCCGUCCGCGCCGGAAGCGGCGCAGCGGCGGGCGCGGGCUGGCGGGGCGGAAGCGGCCGUUGCCGAGGAUGAGCCAGCGGGACACCCUGGUGCACCUCUUCGCCGGCGGUUGACUGAUGUUUUCAGCUGUCAAGCUGUUUUACUUGAUACAAAUGUCACGUUGUAAGUAUUUAUUUGCCCUCGGUCCUAAUUGAAGCUACGCUCUCCAUGUUAGUGUUUGUUUUGGAUAAUGGAAAGCAGUGAUGCUUGUUCCCCUUGUGUUAUUUUUUCCAGUUUUCACUUGUACAUUUUUGUAUGUCAGCACAUCAGGGGAAUUUCAUUUUUACAUUAAGUAGGAACAGGUUUGAUUAAUAUUUCUUAGUUUAAGGAAGUUAACUUAAAAUUGUUAUUUUUUUAAAACUUCAGCAAGAAGUAUAAUCUGUGAAUAAGGGGGCUGUGGGCUACUAGCUGCUGGUACUGCUAGCCAGUAUAUUAAUGAGAAAGAUGGAAAGAUGUGUAAUGUACAAGUUUAGCAGUAUAAUAAUGGGAAAACCCUGAAACUUCCAGAUUAGUGAGAUGCAUUCUUGCUGUUUCUGAAAAUUUUUCUUCCCAAAGGCCUUAAAUUCCCUAUCAAAAGAGGGAUACUGUAGGUUUGAUAUUCAGACCUGCAACUUAGAUGUCGAUGUGAACACCAGUUACUCUUGUGCUGUAAGACGGGUCUGUGAAAUUGCUGACAGUUUGGGGACCUGAAUUUGUGGUAAGUGGUAAAGAGAUUAGAAGGCGUUCUGCUUGCAAGUGGCUCCGUGUUUUCCUGACAGCUUUUUGAGAUCGGUUUUCUCACUGUUUAUCUUGUCAGUCAGUAUUUGCAGGGAACUCUUUCAUAGAGGAAAGAGAAGCAGCAGGUAAAAUACAUGAAUGAAUGUAGACCCAAGAUAACAGGGUCAAGGGUUAUCUCCGAGUCUUUGAGGCCGCAGUUACAAAUACAGUGAAAGGUGAAUCUAAGGUAAGUGCUAUGCAGCCUCAUCAUGGGCUUGUG
rnacentral:lncRNA from 1 species